rnacentral:rRNA from 1 species
CCGUAAGAGACUGCGGAGACAUUAUCGAGUUUUUGAAAGGGUUGUAGCUGGUCUUUUAGGAGGCAUGUGCACACCCUGCUCAAUUCAUACUUUACCCCUGUGCACUUACUGUAGGCCUUGUAUGUGAAGAUGGGCAUUAUUGUCUGUUGGAUGCAUCUUGGCUUAUGUCUAUUAUAAACCCUUUAAAGUGAUAGAAUGAAUAUUAUGAUGUGUAACACAUCUUUAUACAACUUUCAGCAAUGGAUCUCUUGGCUCUCGCAUCGAUGAAGAACGCAGCAAAAUGCGAUAAGUAAUGUGAAUUGCAGAAUUCAGUGAAUCAUCGAAUCUUUGAACGCACCUUGCGCUCCUUGGUAUUCCGAGGAGCAUGCCUGUUUGAGUGUCAUGAAAUUCUCAACCUACAAACCUUUGCAGGAUUUGUAAGGAUUGGACUUGGAGGUUUUUGUCGGUUGCAUGAUCGGCUCCUCUUAAAUGCAUUAGCUUGGUUCCUUAUGGAUCAGCUGUCAGUGUGAUAAUGUCUACGCUGCAACUGUGAAGUGUUUUGGCAAGCUUCUAACAGUCUCUUAUGGAAACAUUAAUUGAUCUCUCUGAACUCAAAUCAAGGAGGACUACCCGCUGAACUUAAGCAUAUCCUAAA